rnacentral:lncRNA from 1 species
AUUAAAAACUAUUGUGUUUAUAUAUUUUAAAAUAAUUCCCUUUUUAAUCCAGCUUUUCUUUAAUUCUAAAUACUAUUUUUCUUCCUAAUUUCUGUCUUUACCCUCCUGCCACUGUCCAUUCAGCUCCCUCCCACCAGCGAUCAGUCUCUCUCUGGCCCUUACUACAGCCUCCUUCUCUGACCCACUGUGUUCCUUCUGGCCUGUGGGUCACAGCGGGUAGCUGCAGCAAGGCAAAGAGGACAUCCUAGUGGCAGAACAAGAUUGCUUUCAUCUUUUCCUGUGUGUUUAGCAUCAAUCAUGGAAAGACUUAUUGACCUGGGCCUUCUUCCCUCUGGCCGUGGUACCCACUGUAACCCAAAUAGGAUGUUCAAGUUAGGGGCUGGUGAAGAAGGUAGAUGAAAUAAAUAUUCAAGGGGAAUGUGUCCAAAAGGGGCUGGAGGGUUCCUUUGUUUGUGCAGCCGCAACAGUCUUGAUUUCCCGCAGUGGUUCUUGCAGCUCAUGAAACUAUUUUCUAUAUAAUUUUUGUACCUUUCAAGUACUUUUGUGCCUUUGAAAGACUUUUGAUUUUUUGACAAAAAUCAAAAAAUUUCUGUCAUACCCAACUUUUUUGAUCAGAAAUAUGAUCUCUCUACCCCCCUUGGAAAUGUUGGCAUCUCCAUGAAAGAGGUGGCUGGAUGAAAAGGCUCAUGGCUCGAAGGUGGGGAAAAAAAAAGAAAUACUGGGAAGGAGACUCAGUAAUUACAGGACUGCAUCAGGGCUUUCUGGCUUGGUGUCUAGUCUAGAAACCAGUCAUAUAGAGAAUAUGCCUCAGUGCCUGCUAGCUAUGCUGGGGAACCUGACCGUGGUUAUUGUGAGCCGCUUCACCGCUUCAGAACGUCCUUCUUUUGUUUCUCUCCAGCGACAGUUGGGCAAGAACAUCAAGUUUGGGCAGCCACCACCCAACGCCAUUCCCAUGAAGAAGGCAGACAGUGGCGAGGCUCGCUUCGAAGAGGACCCAUUCCUCACCAGUCCUGUGGAAGUUGUGACUCAGCAAGACCUCAUCCUCUCAGACACCGAGAACAAAUCCAGUGAGACGCCAAGUUCUCCAAGUCCUCUGAAUCUGCCCGGAGCCAGAAGUGAGAUGGAAGAGAAGGUUGCUCCAGUUAAACCGUCCCGGCCCAAGAGGCACCUUUCUUCCGCUGGCACCAUUGAAAGUGUCAACCUGGAUGCCAUCCCCCUGGCCAUCGCUCGACUGGAUAACAGUGCCGCCAAGCACAAACUGUCCAUUAAGCCAAAAAACAAGAGGGUGUCAAGGAAGCACAGGCGACUUGUCGGGGAUCGACAGAACGAGCACGGUGGCCUUCUGCAUCAGCUGUCCCUGGACCAGAACGGACACCCUGGAGAAGACAAGCCAAUCUGGCAGGAAGGAGAGCUGGAGCCCCGGGACUCGGAGGAAGAGAAGCGACGCCAGGAAGAAUACUGGCGGGACCUUGAGGCCAAGUGCAAACGGCAGAAGGCCGAAGCUGCGGAGAGGCGACGCCUGGAAGAGCAGAGGCUCCAGGCUCUCGAGCGGAGGCUUUGGGAGGAGAACAGAAGGCAGGAACUCUUGGAGGAAGAGGAGGAGGAGGAGGAGGAGGGAGAGGAAAGAGAAAUACAGCUAGAGGCAAAGAAGAGGCAGAGCGAAGAAGAGAUGCGGAGCCUGGAAGAGCCGGGUUCCCAGGGCCCAGAGCAGAGGGAGGAAGAGGAAGGAGGACUCCCAGAGGCCGAGGAGCCCGUGUGCCCAGAGGAAGAGGCGCAACACCUGGGGAGAUGCUUGGUGCAGGAGGAGAUGGAGGCUCAGAGCCGGCAGGAGGCCGAGAACCUGCGACGGGAGGAGGAGGAAAGAGAGUUGGAGGAACUCCGAAGACUGGAGGAGCUGGAGGAGCAGGGGCGGAGGGCAGCCGAGAGGCAGCGGCUGGAAGAGGAGGAGAGGCAGCGGGAGCUGGAGGAGGAAAAACGGAUGGAGGAGCUCAGGAGGCAGGAGGAGCUCAGGAGGCAGGAGGAGCUCAGGAGGCAGGAGGAGCUCAGGAGGCAGGAGGAGCUCAGGAGGCAGGAGGAGCUCAGGAGGCAGGAGGAGCUCAGGAGGCAGGAGGAGCUCAGGAGGCAGGAGGAACUGGAGGCCCAGAGAUGGCGGGAGGAGGAGGAGGUGAGGAAGAGGGAAGAACUGAAGAAGAGAGAAGACUUAGAGGCCAAGAGGAGGCAGGAAGUGGAGAAGAAGCUUCAGGAAGCACCGAGAGUGGAAGAGGAGAAUCAGCCGCAGCUGGACCACAAAAGCGGCUUGAGGAGCCCAUUUCAGAGCGACUUAGCAGAGAAAGCAGAAAACCAAGAUCACCCGAAACUUGAAAAGCUGAGAGAAAACUCCGAGAAACCGAGUAUUUGGGUGAAGCAGAGCCAAGAGGCCACUGAGACAUCGGGGGAGCAGCCCAGAAGGCAGGAGGAAGUUCCUGGGGAUCGUGGUUGUGGACGGCAGGAAAUGAGGGAAGAAACCAACAUGCAGCCUCCCCAGAAGCAAGAGGCCCAGGUGGAAGAGAUGCUGGCACCAGGAGAGAAGAAGGAAGCUGCCACUCCAGAAACAGACAGAAAGGUGGAGGAACUCAGAUGGCAGGAGGUGGAGGAGAGGCAGACCAUGCCCAGACCGUACACUUUCCAGGUGUCAUCAGGAGGGAAACAAAUUCUUUUCCCCAAAGUCAAUCUGAGCCCAGUGAAGCCCAUGAAAGAUGAGGGGCUCACCUCAGCUCCCCAAGAACCCAAGGCCCCCAAAGCCAGCCCAGCCUCCCACGCCCUGCCCUCAACCCUGAGCAUCCCCCACACGGCCAUCCUGGUCACCGGAGCCCAGCUCUGCGGCCCGGCCGUCAACCUGAGCCAGAUCAAGGACACUGCGUGCAAGUCUCUCCUGGGCUUGUCAGAAGAAAAGAAGCUGGUGGAUGUCCCAGCCCUGGAAAACCCACCCCGAGCCCUGGGGGAACCCCGGGCAGGCAGUGCAAAGACCAGGCCCCCACCAGAGUCUCCAAGCAGCACAGCCGCGCUCGCUGAAUGGGCUUCCAUUCGAUCCCGAAUCCUGAAGAGCUCGGAGAGUGACCAGCGUGGUGAGAGAGAGCAGCCCCCUGCUGCUGAUACUAAAGAGGCCCUGAAAGAUGCAGAGAAACCCAGGGCGCACCAGGAGCCAACGGACACCACAGAGGGGUGCAAAUUUGCCAAAGACCUUCCAUCUUUCCUCGUCCCAGGCCUCCCUUACCCUCCACAGAAAGCAGUGGCCCCGGUGGAGCCCGUGACCACUUCAGAUGGCCAGACCACAGAUGGAGCAGGAAAGUCAGAGUCCACGAUGCCAGGUGGAGAGGAUAAAGCUUCCCUUUUCGGAAUAAAAUUGAGAAGGACCAACUACUCCCUGCGCUUCCACUGCGACCAACAGACAGAACAGAAGAAGAAGAAAAGGCACAGCAGCACAGGGGACAGUAUCGAUGGGGCGCCGUCGGCCCCAGGGAGCACACGUGGAGAGCCAGAGAUGGAGGCUGCAGCCCCCAAGCCUGGCCCCUUGCUCCCUGCAGAGAGGAAGCCAGCCCCAGCCCCCUGGAAGGACUCCUCUGAAAGCCCUCCCAGCCUCUCUCCUCCUGCGGCCCAGCCCGGGCCCCCACUGGACGGCAGCCAGCCCCCGGCUCCGGAGCAGGACAAGGCGGCCACCAGGUUGCCCCUGGCCCAGAAGCCAGCCCUGGCUCCCAAGCCCGCAGGCCAGACCCCACCACCCUCCCCGCUCUCCAAGGUGAGCAGGCCCUACUUGGUGGAGUUGCUGACUCGCCGGGUGGGGAAGCCCGAGCCGGAGCCCAGCGAGCCAUGCAAGGAGGGCCGGGACAGAGGCUGGCCGCCCUCGCCCCCACCGCCUGAAGAGAGAAAGGAGCAGAAGCGGGAUAAGGAGGAAGAGGUGGAAACUGAGAGGAAACCCGCUUCCCCGGUGCCAUCCGCUGGGCAAGAGAAGCCUGCCCCAACGCCCGAGGCGGGGAGGAAAGAAAAGCCGAUGCUUCAGAGCAGACACUCCUUAGAUGGCUCCAAACUUGUGGAGAAGGUUGAGACCGCGCAGCCACUGUGGAUAACGCUGGCGCUGCAGAAACAGAAGGGGUUUCGGGAGCAGCAGGCAACUCGGGAAGAGAGGAAGCAGGCCAGGGAAGCCAAACAGGCAGAGAAGCUCUCCAGAGAACAUGUCAGUGUCACCCCACAGCCUGGAAGCAGCAGCGUCAGCAGAGCUGGUUCCCUGCACAAGCCCACCACUCAGCCAGAAGAGAAGAAGCCAGAGACACCAGUGUCCAGGCUUGAGCGCAGAGAACAACUCAAAAAGGCCAACACUCUUCCUACAUCAGUGACAGUGGAGAUCUCGGAUUCAGCUCCCCCAGCACCACUGGUGAAAGAAGUCACAAAGAGGUUCUCCAACCCAGAUGCUGCCCCCGUGUCAACAGAGCCAGCCUGGCUGGCUUUGGCCAAAAGGAAAGCCAAGGCCUGGAGCGACUGUCCGCAGAUUAUUAAGUAAAGAGUGACUCUUAUCCAUUCUUAUUGCAGUCAUUGGCUCUUCUCUUGCCCUUUUUAUUUAUUUAUUUUUUAUAUGAGGUAAAGAAAACCAAACUAGGAAAAAGAAGCAUGUUUUAUAGGCUCUAAAAUAAUGUUUAGAAACUGAACUGGUGGUGUUCCUUGUAAAGAGUGUAUUUGCACAACCCUAGGUCCUGGUGCCUUGAGCUCCUGCUAGUUUUGAAGAGAAAAUUCCGUCCGAGGGACCACAUGAAGUAAAAUCUCUCGACUAAGACCUCACAAGAGCCUGCCAUGGCCCUUCCACACACACACACCCACACACCAUUCAGAACAUGCCCUUUUGCCAACCUUUGUAAUAUUAAUGGUUUUCUUGAUUCUUUACUCCAGUUUCUUUUCUCUGAACCAUGUGCUUGGGGAUUUCUACCCUUUUCUAAAGUCUUAGUGAAAGGACAAGGAUGCCUAUUCUCCUGAAUGCAGCCACUGGGAACAGCAAGUUAAAAGUCUGGUUUCCAACUCUGUGCCCGUCUCUGCUUCUCAUGAUUUUGCCCCGGCUGGAAACUAACACAGCGAGUCCGUUCACUCUUCUGCUGUGCUGUUGAGCUACGGGCCCUGUUAGACCAGAACUCUCCUUAGGGACAUGUUAACCAUUUGGCCCAGCUGGCUCCUAGGGAACAUUUUUAUUUAAAUGUUUAAAUAAUAAAUGAUUUAAAAAAAAAAAACA